GACAGUGAGGUAUAGUGGUUUGAGUGUUGGACUACAACUCUGGAGACCAGGGUUCGAUUCACAGCUUGGCCA
rnacentral:tRNA from 1 species